UCGGAUGCUUAACCCACUGAGCCACCUGGGAGUGUUCAUUUUUAAAGCACAAAUAUCUACCUAGGCCACAUCAAGAAGAAGACACACUUCUACGAAAUCCUGGAAUCUAUAGCCAAAACUACAUCCGUUCCUUUCCCACAAGAUACUCUGUGAAUAUGACGGUUUCACAAGAUGGAAGGAGCCUAGAUCCUUGUGUCACUACUUGGAGAAAUGCCACCUAACAGAGUUGCUCAACCUACAUCAGAUCAUGGCAUGAACUGGAAUAAAUCCUUAUGUUGUUAAAUCA